rnacentral:rRNA from 1 species
ACAGGUGGUGCAUGGUUGUCGUCAGCUCGUGUCGUGAGAUGUUGGGUUAAGUCCCGCAACGAGCGCAACCCUUAUUGUUAGUUGCCAUCAUUUAGUUGGGCACUCUAGCGAGACUGCCGGUGACAAACCGGAGGAAGGUGGGGAUGACGUCAAAUCAUCAUGCCCCUUAUGACCUGGGCUACACACGUGCUACAAUGGGAAGUACAACGAGUUGCGAAGUCGCGAGGCUAAGCUAAUCUCUUAAAGCUUCUCUCAGUUCGGAUUGUAGGCUGCAACUCGCCUACAUGAAGCCGGAAUCGCUAGUAAUCGCGGAUCAGCACGCCGCGGUGAAUACGUUCCCGGGCCUUGUACACACCGCCCGUCACACCACGAGAGUUUGUAACACCCGAAGUCGGUGAGGUAACCUUUUUGGAGCCAGCCGCCUAAGGUGGGAUAGAUGAUUGGGGUGAAGUCGUAACAAGGUAGCCGUAUCGGAAGGUGCGGCUGGA